rnacentral:siRNA from 1 species
UGUGUGAUGAUGUGUCAUUUAUA